UGGUUCUGGCAUCGAUGAAGAACACAGCGAAAUGCGAUAAGUAAUGUGAAUUGCAGAAUUCAGUGAAUCAUCGAAUCUUUGAACGCACAUUGCGCCCGCCAGUAUUCUGGCGGGCAUGCCUGUUCGAGCGUCAUUUCAACCCUCAAGCCCAGCUUGGUGUUGGGGCAUUGCGGCUCGUCCGCAAGCCCCGAAAAACAGUGGCGGGCUCGCUAUAACUCCGAGCGUAGUAGUUUAUUCUCGCUCUGGAAGAGUGGCGGGCCCCGGCCGUUAAACCCCCAAUUUUUACAAGGUUGACCUCGGAUCAGGUAGGGAUACCCGCUGA
rnacentral:misc_RNA from 1 species